GGUUAAGCGACUAAGCGUACACGGUGGAUGCCCUGGCAGUCAGAGGCGAUGAAGGACGUGCUAAUCUGCGAUAAGCGUCGGUAAGGUGAUAUGAACCGUUAUAACCGGCGAUUUCCGAAUGGGGGAAACCCAGUGUGUUUCGACACACUAUCAUUAACUGAAUCCAUAGGUUAAUGAGGCGAACCGGGGGAACUGAAACAUCUAAGUACCCCGAGGAAAAGAAAUCAACCGAGAUUCCCCCCAGUAGCGGCGAGCGAACGGGGAGGAGCCCAGAGCCUGAAUCAGUGUGUGUGUUAGUGGAAGCGUCUGGAAAGGCGCGCGAUACAGGGUGACAGCCCCGUACACAAAAAUGCACAUGCUGUGAGCUCGAUGAGUAGGGCGGGACACGUGGUAUCCUGUCUGAAUAUGGGGGACCAUCCUCCAAGGCUAAAUACUCCUGACUGACCGAUAGUGAACCAGUACCGUGAGGGAAAGGCGAAAAGAACCCCGGCGAGGGGGAGUGAAAAAGAACCUGAAACCGUGUACGUACAAGCAGUGGGAGCACAGAGCAAUCUGUGUGACUGCGUACCUUUUGUAUAAUGGGUCAGCGACUUAUAUUCUGUAGCAAGGUUAACCGAAUAGGGGAGCCGAAGGGAAACCGAGUCUUAACUGGGCGUUAAGUUGCAGGGUAUAGACCCGAAACCCGGUGAUCUAGCCAUGGGCAGGUUGAAGGUUGGGUAACACUAACUGGAGGACCGAACCGACUAAUGUUGAAAAAUUAGCGGAUGACUUGUGGCUGGGGGUGAAAGGCCAAUCAAACCGGGAGAUAGCUGGUUCUCCCCGAAAGCUAUUUAGGUAGCGCCUCGUGAAUUCAUCUCCGGGGGUAGAGCACUGUUUCGGCAAGGGGGUCAUCCCGACUUACCAACCCGAUGCAAACUGCGAAUACCGGAGAAUGUUAUCACGGGAGACACACGGCGGGUGCUAACGUCCGUCGUGAAGAGGGAAACAACCCAGACCGCCAGCUAAGGUCCCAAAGUCAUGGUUAAGUGGGAAACGAUGUGGGAAGGCCCAGACAGCCAGGAUGUUGGCUUAGAAGCAGCCAUCAUUUAAAGAAAGCGUAAUAGCUCACUGGUCGAGUCGGCCUGCGCGGAAGAUGUAACGGGGCUAAACCAUGCACCGAAGCUGCGGCAGCGACACUGUGUGUUGUUGGGUAGGGGAGCGUUCUGUAAGCCUGUGAAGGUGUGCUGUGAGGCAUGCUGGAGGUAUCAGAAGUGCGAAUGCUGACAUAAGUAACGAUAAAGCGGGUGAAAAGCCCGCUCGCCGGAAGACCAAGGGUUCCUGUCCAACGUUAAUCGGGGCAGGGUGAGUCGACCCUAAGGCGAGGCCGAAAGGCGUAGUCGAUGGGAAACAGGUUAAUAUUCCUGUACUUGGUGUUACUGCGAAGGGGGGGACGGAGAAGGCUAUGUUGGCCGGGCGACGGUUGUCCCGGUUUAAGCGUGUAGGCUGGUUUUCCAGGCAAAUCCGGAAAAUCAAGGCUGAGGCGUGAUGACGAGGCACUACGGUGCUGAAGCAACAAAUGCCCUGCUUCCAGGAAAAGCCUCUAAGCAUCAGGUAACAUCAAAUCGUACCCCAAACCGACACAGGUGGUCAGGUAGAGAAUACCAAGGCGCUUGAGAGAACUCGGGUGAAGGAACUAGGCAAAAUGGUGCCGUAACUUCGGGAGAAGGCACGCUGAUAUGUAGGUGAAGUCCCUCGCGGAUGGAGCUGAAAUCAGUCGAAGAUACCAGCUGGCUGCAACUGUUUAUUAAAAACACAGCACUGUGCAAACACGAAAGUGGACGUAUACGGUGUGACGCCUGCCCGGUGCCGGAAGGUUAAUUGAUGGGGUCAGCGCAAGCGAAGCUCUUGAUCGAAGCCCCGGUAAACGGCGGCCGUAACUAUAACGGUCCUAAGGUAGCGAAAUUCCUUGUCGGGUAAGUUCCGACCUGCACGAAUGGCGUAAUGAUGGCCAGGCUGUCUCCACCCGAGACUCAGUGAAAUUGAACUCGCUGUGAAGAUGCAGUGUACCCGCGGCAAGACGGAAAGACCCCGUGAACCUUUACUAUAGCUUGACACUGAACAUUGAGCCUUGAUGUGUAGGAUAGGUGGGAGGCUUUGAAGUGUGGACGCCAGUCUGCAUGGAGCCGACCUUGAAAUACCACCCUUUAAUGUUUGAUGUUCUAACGUGGACCCGUGAUCCGGGUUGCGGACAGUGUCUGGUGGGUAGUUUGACUGGGGCGGUCUCCUCCUAAAGAGUAACGGAGGAGCACGAAGGUUGGCUAAUCCUGGUCGGACAUCAGGAGGUUAGUGCAAUGGCAUAAGCCAGCUUGACUGCGAGCGUGACGGCGCGAGCAGGUGCGAAAGCAGGUCAUAGUGAUCCGGUGGUUCUGAAUGGAAGGGCCAUCGCUCAACGGAUAAAAAGGUACUCCGGGGAUAACAGGCUGAUACCGCCCAAGAGUUCAUACCGACGGCGGUGUUUGGCACCUCGAUGUCGGCUCAUCACAUCCCUGGGGCUGAAGUAGGUCCCAAGGGUAUGGCUGUUCGCCAUUUAAAAGUGGUACGCGAGCUGGGUUUAGAACGUCGUGAGACAGUUCGGUCCCUAUCUGCCGUGGGCGCUGGAGAACUGAGGGGGCUGCUCCUAGUACGAGAGGACCGGAGUGGACGCAUCACUGGUGUUCGGGUUGUCAUGCCAAUGGCACUGCCCGGUAGCUAAAUGCGGAAGAGAUAAGUGCUGAAAGCAUCUAAGCACGAAACUUGCCCCGAGAUGAGUUCUCCCUGACCCUUUAAGGGUCCUGAAGGAACGUUGAAGACGACGACGUUGAUAGGCCGGGUGUGUAAGCGCAGCGAUGCGUUGAGCUAACCGGUACUAAUGAACCGUGAGGCUUAACCUU
rnacentral:rRNA from 1 species